rnacentral:tRNA from 2 species
GGGCACGUAGCUCAAUCACGGAGCAGACGACUGAUACUCGUUGUGAUGUAGGUGUAAACCCUAUCGUGCCCA